UUACGAAUUUCAUUGAUUUGGAGGGCGACUGCCAACGGAUUACGAAGACUAAAAUGGUCCGAUUACGCCUCAGGAAAAAGGGCAUGCAGGCUUCUACAACGAGCAUUCCAGCUCUCAGAUGUGUCUUUGGCAUUUGGAUACCACAAAGCAAUCAACCUAUGCCACCAUUCACUCAAUACCAGCCUGUGCCACCGUGCACUCAAUACCAGCCUGUGCCACCGUGCACUCAAUACCAGCCUGUGCCACCGUGCACUCAAUACUAAUGUGCCAUUGUGCAGAACUUGCAGAUUGUAUACUGGAUGAGUCCAUGUCUCACGAGUGAAUUAUUAAAACCAGAAACUGUAUCUUGCCCUGAAACCAAAUAUUCAAUAAACAAUCUGAACACAUA